ensembl:lncRNA
CUCUUAAAGCAAUGACUUCUGAACUUGAAUGACCAGUAGAACUGGGUGGAUGACUUUAUAAAAACACAGAUUUGCAAGCCCAGCCCAGGUCUAUCAAGUAAGGAUCUUUCUAAGGAGUUAACCUCAGAAAUAAGUUACCAGGAGAAACUUCACAAACAUACACUGGCUCCCUCCUGAGUACUAGCCACCCCAGUAACUCUUGGGAAAGAGCAACAACCAAACCAACACUACCAGGUCCUUCCUGGAGCUUGCAGUUCAUGAGGGGAUAGCCACGAAGGAGCGACUUAGAAAGGAAAUCUGUGCUUCAGAAAAUUAUCAGCUACAAUUUAUUCUGAUCCACCCCAAGACAUUGAAAUUCUACCCUUUUCUGUUUGGUAACAGGAAACCUUUGAUGAAUUCUAAAGAGAGGAGUGCCACUGUCCAGCCUGAAAUCAACAUUCAACAUACUUCGUCAUUUUGGAGUGUAAUUUACAAGGGGAGAGAAGGAAGCGCAAAUCUUUGGUUAAAAUUCGCCAUUAGAAUUAUUUGUGUAUUAGAGUCGAUUGUCCACAUCACUCAUCUUCACUAUUACCACGGACCAAAAAAAAAAAAGGAAAGAAACUUGACUUGUGGGUGUGAGACUGUGGUGAAAUACAGAUCCUGACUCAUGCCUGGUUGGAUGUCCUCUGGAGAUGCUGUGCUCAUUAGUCUGGAGGUGUUAGUGCUUCAGUUUCUUUUAUAAGCACUUUGUUAUUUUGUCAUUGGAUAAUAAUGGAUGUGUCACAGUAAAUAUGUCUCAACUGCCUAGGAAAUGCUUACCUGCCGUAGAAUACAGUGACAUAAUUUUUGAGAUGAUAUACACCUUUCUUGUGAAGCCUCAGCUUGUUAUGAAGUUCUGGCCUCUGACUACAAUUAUUUUCUUUCGAGUAAACAUUGGAACACAUCCUGUUAACUCUCAACCUGCUCUCCAGGCAAGAUUUUUCAAAAUCUUCUGUCAUUUUAAGUAUACAGCUCAGGAACAAUACGUUUGUUCUGGAACAUAGGUACAAAUCAGGCUUCCUUGGUAGCCGAGUCAGUAGAGAAUCCACUCACUACUCUGGAGACAGGGGUUUGAUCCCUGGGCCAGGAAGAUCCCCUAGAGAAGGAAAUGGCUACCCACUCCAGUAUUCUUGCCUGGAGAAUUCCGUGGACAGAGGAGCCUGGUGGGCUACAGUCCCACAAGAGUCAGAGACGACUGAGCAACUAAACCAGCACCACCAUAGCUACAAAUGGUCAACCAGUUUUCAUUGUAGAAGCAACAGAGGGAAAAGGUAAAGGAGGUUAAAUGUAAAAAAGAUCAAUUUUCACCCCAAUCUCAUCAUUUGAAGUUUCAAGGAAUACGGUUCCUUACAUUGUACUGUGUAAAACAUUUGGACUUAUUUGCGGAUUCAUUUGAUUAACUGAUUUAUUAAAAAAACACUUGCCAUAUACUGCAUGCUAGAUGUUGGGAUGGACGAUAAGAUGAGGAAAGAUUAUAAGGCUCAAUCCAAAGGACAUAUAAUUGCAUCUUACAAUCAGACUUGGGCAGUGUACUGCAGUUAUCAGUUAAUCAACAAACAUAUUUUUUCCACAAGCUUAAUUUUUGUAAUCUCAGUACUAGGGGCUAUGGAGCAUGUAAAAAUACAUCAUACAAGACUUAUACAAUUUUUUAAAGUAUUUGUUUCCUUGGCUGGGCCAGGUAUUAGUCAUGGCACGUGGGAUCUAGUUCCCUGACCAUUGGUCAAACCUGGGCCCCUCGCAUUACGAUCAGGGAGUUACCCUGGGCUACCAGGGAAUCCCAAGAUAGAUACAAUUGAAUGAAAAAAAGGUUCAGUAAAUAUUCUUUAACCACAUAAGUAGAAACUGAGAGCAGGUAUAAUUUAAGAGGCAUUUAAAAGAUCAGCAGAUGGGAAAUUUCUAUGGACUUGACUGAUUAGGAAAUGCCUUUGAAAGGAGGUGGAAGAACGUGGCUCAUGUUGGCCUGGCACUUGCUCCUUCAUCCCCAUGUCGUAGUCAUAAGCCAUUUCAAUUCACUUAAACUAUUGCUUGAACAGUGAUCUGAGUCUGCUAAAAAUAUAAGAAAUAUUUUGAU